CAAUAGCGUAUAUUUAAGUUGUUGCAGUUAAAAAGCUCGUAGUUGGAUUUCGGGUGGGACGCAGCGGUCUCGCAUUGCGUUUGUACUGCUGCAGCCCUCCUUCUUGCCGGGGGCGGCCUCUCGGACUUCACUGUCUGGGGGUCAGAAUCGGCGAUGUUACUUUGAGUAAAUUAGAGUGUUCAAAGCAAGCUUACGCUCUGAAUAUAAUAGCAUGGGAUAACACGACAGGACUCUGGCCUAUCGUGUUGGUCUAUAGGACCAGAGUAAUGAUUAAGAGGGACAGUCGGGGGCAUUCGUAUUCCGUUGUCAGAGGUGAAAUUCUUGGAUUUACGGAAGACGAACAUCUGCGAAAGCAUUUUCCAAGGAUGUUUUCAUUGA
rnacentral:rRNA from 1 species